rnacentral:rRNA from 1 species
UACGUAGGCAGCAAGCGUUGUUCGGAGUUACUGGGCGUAAAGAGUGCGUAGGCGGUUUUUUUAAGUUUGGUGUGAAAUCUCCCGGCUUAACUGGGAGGGUGCGCCGAAAACUGGAAGGCUCGAGGAUGGGAGAGGCAUGCGGAAUUCCUGGUGUAGCGGUGAAAUGCGUAGAUAUCAGGAGGAACACCUGCGGUGUAGACAGCAUGCUGGACCAUUUCUGACGCUGAGGCACUGAAAGCGUGGGUAG